UACGGGGGGAGCAAGCGUUGUUCGGAUUUACUGGGCGUAAAGGGCGCGUAGGCGGUCACUACAAGUCAGUUGUGAAAUCUCUGGGCUUAACUCAGAACGGUCAACUGAUACUGUCGGACUAGAGUGCAGAAGGGGCAACUGGAAUUCUCGGUGUAGCGGUGAAAUGCGUAGAUAUCGAGAGGAACACCUGCGGCGAAGGCGGGUUGCUGGGCUGACACUGACGCUGAACUGCGAAAGCUAGGGGAGCAAACGGG
rnacentral:rRNA from 1 species